AACAAAAUUCUUUUUUUUUUUUCGAUGAAACUCAUCUUUUUCUCUCCUUCUUCCACUUCUUAUCUUUGACUUACUUGCAAAACUUGGGUUUUGGCAAGAUGCAACAAACUAAUUGACAAGAAGAGAAGAUGAAGAAAAAAACAUUAUCCAAACACAAAUCCUAACCCCAUAGAAUUCCAACUAAAAUUUAAAGGCAAGUCAAUAGAGGGCACCACUCUUAAUGACCCUGUCGUGAAGAGGCCAAUUGCUAUUAUAAAUGAUUUUUAGAUAUGAUAUUGAAGCACUUUAGAAUGACACCAAAGAAGAACAUGCGAUCUUAUUCAAAGAAGAAAAAUAUAAAGCUGCAAGCCAUGAAGCACAGCGAAAGCACAUCACCACCUUCUUCAAAACGUCAAUGAAUUUGUAAACUACAAUCCGAAUCCAAAAAAAUAAAAUAAAAUAAAAUAAAUACUAAGCUACAAUUCCAAUCCAAAAAGGAAAGCACUAAGCUGCAACCUCAACUGAAACACUAUGAAAGCAUGCCACCACCUUCCUUGGAAAGUCAACAAACUUCUGAGCACCUUAUUUCUCCAACUAAGCUCCCAACUAAUGUAUCAAUGUCCUCUAGGCCACUAAAGCUCUUAGAUGGAAGGAACCUAUUUUCAAAGGUUUUGAUAUAUUUAAAGCUAGGGUGCAUUCCUUUGCAAAUCCAAUGGAAGCAAACAUAGUAGUAAAAAAUGUGCUUAUACUUGAUCUGUGACGACCAGUGUGAAUGGGUGCGAGGUAUUGGCAAGCUACUUGGUAUCCAAUUUUACAUCUCCCAAGUGUAGAUCAGGAUGAUUCAAAUGUAACAAUAGUUACUCACAUAACACAGAAGCCUUUUUAGAGCAGUUAACUUCAAUAUUCGAAAGCACUCCAAAGUUAAGAGUGUUCAGGUAAGAGUAAUACUGGGAUAGAUGAUCUACUGGGAAGCUUCAAAUAAAAAGCUCCAUACUAAAUGCGGUGGCUAAACUGGAGACAAUAUCAGCAAAGAGUGACAGGUCUACCAGUGGAGAUGGGGUAUUACAAAUGGUAUCAUAAUCUGUACUCGACCGGAAGUAUACUGGUGAGGACACACUGGGCCCCCAAAGCGGGUGGAUUGUGAGAACCAAUGUGUGCGGGUGCAGGGCACUAGCUUGCUAUCAAGUGUUCAAUCCACAUUGUCAGGAUGUAGAUCAGGGGAUAAUUCAAAUAUAAUAAUAGUCACUCUCAUAACAUUAAGGCUUUUUCAAAGUGGUUGGCUUUCGAAAGAACUCCCAAGUUAACUGUGCUCAGGUGUGAGCAAUUCUAAGAUGGGUCAUCUUUUGGGAAGCUCCAAAUAAAAAAUCCUAUAUCAAAUGCGGUGGCUAAAUUGGAGACAAUAUCGGCAGAGAGUGAUAGGUCCAAUGUAGAUGCCCUAUUGAUAAUUGUAAUAGCAUCUGUUGGUAAUUUUUCUAGAGAGUAAUAUACUUUAUAGCAAAAUUACCAUGGCACCUGUCAAUGUUACCAAUAGCAUAUCGGUAAUUUCUUUACUAAUU